AUUGAACGCUGGCGGCAUGCCUUACACAUGCAAGUCGAACGGCAGCACGGGGCAACCUGGUGGCGAGUGGCGAACGGGUGAGUAAUGCAUCGGAACGUGCCAUUGAGUGGGGGAUAACGUAGCGAAAGUUGCGCUAAUACCGCAUAUUCUGUGAGCAGGAAAGCAGGGGACCGCAAGGCCUUGCGCUCUUUGAGCGGCCGAUGUCAGAUUAGCUAGUUGGUGAGGUAACGGCUUACCAAGGCGACGAUCUGUAGCGGGUCUGAGAGGAUGAUCCGCCACACUGGAACUGAGACACGGUCCAGACUCCUACGGGAGGCAGCAGUGGGGAAUUUUGGACAAUGGGCGCAAGCCUGAUCCAGCCAUGCCGCGUGAGUGAAGAAGGCCUCGGUUGUAAGUACUCUUCGGUCCGGGAACGGAAAUACGACGAUGGGUUAAGUAACCCGUUCGUGUUGGAGUGACGGUACCGGAA
rnacentral:rRNA from 1 species